GAUGAACGCUGGCGGCGUGCCUAAUACAUGCAAGUCGAGCGAACAGACGAGGAGCUUGCUCCUCUGACGUUAGCGGCGGACGGGUGAGUAACACGUGGAUAACCUACCUAUAAGACUGGGAUAACUUCGGGAAACCGGAGCUAAUACCGGAUAAUAUAUUGAACCGCAUGGUUCAAUAGUGAAAGACGGUUUUGCUGUCACUUAUAGAUGGAUCCGCGCCGCAUUAGCUAGUUGGUAAGGUAACGGCUUACCAAGGCAACGAUGCGUAGCCGACCUGAGAGGGGGAUCGGCCACACUGGAACUGAGACACGGUCCAGACUCCUACGGGAGGAAGCAGUAGGGAAUCUUCCGCAAUGGGCGAAAGCCUGACGGAGCAACGCCGCGUGAGUGAUGAAGGUCUUCGGAUCGUAAAACUCUGUUAUUAGGGAAGAACAAAUGUGUAAGUAACUAUGCACGUCUUGACGGUACCUAAUCAGAAAGCCACGGCUAACUACGUG
rnacentral:rRNA from 1 species